AGACCGCGCUGGGUUGCCGCCGCCGCUGCCGCCAUCGUGCCAGCCCCUCGGGUCUCCGUGAGGCCGGGUGACGCUCCAGAAUGGGAGACAAACCAAUUUGGGAGCAGAUUGGAUCCAGCUUCAUUCAACAUUACUACCAGUUAUUUGAUAAUGAUAGAACCCAACUAGGCGCAAUUUACAUUGACGCAUCAUGCCUUACGUGGGAAGGACAACAGUUCCAGGGGAAAGCUGCCAUUGUGGAGAAGUUGUCUAGCCUUCCGUUCCAGAAAAUCCAGCACAGCAUCACCGCGCAGGACCAUCAGCCCACUCCAGAUAGCUGCAUCAUCAGCAUGGUUGUGGGCCAGCUUAAGGUAAUGGUGCUGCCACAGUGGUAGGGAGGGGUGGGCAGGCAGAGGAGAGUCUUGUACCCCUGCUUUCCCUGUGGAUGUGACCUGCUUAUCUAGGGACACCCAGACAAAGUGACUGUCUGGAGCUGUGUAGUUCAGUAUGCUAGCCAUUAGCCACAUGUAGGUGGCAAUUUUUAAGUUACAUUAAUUAAGAUUAAAUAAAACGUACUUCUUCGGUUGUACUAGCCAUAUAGAACAUUUUU
rnacentral:sRNA from 1 species